GUGUACGCUAGCGGGAGUUUUAUCACAUGCAGCCGAGGGGUAUAGUUCUUUCGGGACUCGAGACCGGUGCACGGGUGUACGCGCGUAUAUUCCUUGCCCUACUGAAAUUGAUAGCCCUUCGAAAGCAUGAUUACUAUUUUAUAGUAUAAUUCAUGCUUUCGAAGGAUUUUGAAAGAUUUAUCGCAGUAGGAUAGGCAUGCGUAAGAUUAGUUAGUUGGUGAGUAUCUGCCUCACCAAGACUAUGAUCUUUAGUGGGUCUGUGAGGGUUAACGCUCGCACUGGUACUGAGACACGAACCAGCUCUCAGAGGAGGCGGCAGUGAGGAAUAUUGGACAGUGGGUGGAAGCCUGAUCCAGCCAUCUCGCGUGUAGUAUGACGGCCUUAUGGGUUGUAAACUACUCUUAUCUGAGGAUAAACCUACACACGUGUCAGUCGCUGAAGGUACCAGACGAAUAAGCACCGGCUAACUCCGUGCCAGCAGCCGCGCUCAUACGGAGGGUGCAAGCGUUAUCCGGAUUUAUUGAUUUAAAGAGUCCGUAGGCGGAUUAUUCAGUCAGUGGUGAAUCUCAUAGCUGAUCUAUGAAACUGCCAUUGAUACUG
rnacentral:rRNA from 1 species